UACAUCAUCAGAAAGAUGCACAUUUACUACAUUUUGGGUGUAUUAAUUAUAUACAAUUUUAAUAAUUUUACAAGUAUAGAAAUAGGGUUCAGGGAGAGCGGAUUGCCAUUAAAACACUUUUGGCAAAGUACCGGUUUGUGCCCUCUUUGUGCUGCUAAUAAGACUCGUGAGUUUCUGUUAUCUAAUGAUGAAAAGUUGAAUUUGCGACACAUAGGAGCUCUACCUAACAAUUCCAUUAAGCAUGUUCGGAUUCAUUGGUUAUUGAAUUUAAUAUGCAUUAGACAUUUGAAUGGGGAACCUGUGUACAAUUUCACAUAUUUAGACGAUUUUUUAGAUUGGAUUCGUCAAGAAAAUUUGGUUCCUGGAUUUGAGUUGAUGGGUUUACCACAAACAGAUGAUGAAAACUCAUAUUAUGAUCCAUAUACAUAUGAUUUUUGGUAUAAUAUUACUUUCGCAAUUGCCAAUCGAUAUAUAGAUCGGUAUGGUGCGAGGUACGUGAAGAAAUGGAGAUUUGAAUCUUGGAACGAACCGGAUCUGAGAAAUUAUAACAUUCUUAAUUUCACACUUUCACAAUAUCUCUCGUACAUUGAGGCCUGUGAAGUUGCUCUGAGGGCUGCAUUUCGCGCGGGCGGCGCACAAGGAAAGCUGAAAUUCGGUGGGCCUGCAGGAUUGUUUAAAAGUAUUGGUAAGCACCCUCUGUGUUGGGGUUCAUUGGAGAUGUGUAACUUGAAGGGACGCAGUUGCCCUUUCCAAUAUAUUUCCUUCCACAAAAAAGGUAACGGUAGUGCUAAUGCUGUUUCACACGACAGUAUUCAGUUGCUGAACAUUCUGUAUUCGAAGUUUCCCAACUUAAAAGGAAUACCUGUAUCGAACGAUGAAGCAGAUGUACUGAGUAAUUGGUCAAGGAGUUUGGAUUGGCGCGGAGAUGUAAGAUAUGCCGCUAUGAUCGCAAAGAUUGUUAUCGAUUUUUACAAAGAGUUGGUUGUAAAAAUGGAGAUUCCUGUGCAGUUGUUGAGUUUUGAUAAUGGUUUUCUUAAUUAUAAUCCUUACUUUUUUACUCAACGAACACUUUUAGCAAGAUUUCAAAUGAAUAACACCAACCCCACUCAUAUUCAAUUUAUUAGAAAGCCCGCAUACUCCGUAAUGGGCUUGUUAUCCUUGUUAGGGGAUGAAUACCUAAAGGAAAAUGUAACGCCGCCGGAUCCUUUUGUUCAGUUUUUAGCCACACGCUCGAUAAGAAACAAAAAUGAAUCCCAUCUGAUUUCAUUAUUGAUUACGUACGUGAAUGAUGAAAGGGAAGAUAAAAAUGUCAAGGAAAUUCGUGUCAAUUUUAACAACCUUCCGAACAAUGAAUGUAAAUACGUUAUUUAUGUUUUGGAUAAUAAAAUUACCAAUCCAUUUCUAUCGUGGAGAAAGCACGGUUCGCCGGUUUUUCCGGCGAUGAAAUUGCGAAAUUUAAUGCGCCAUUGCGAGGAACCGUAUCGACUUGAAGGGCCACGUUCUAUUUUAAAUUUAACUUUACAAAUGAAUUUAGCAUUACCUUCGGUUGCCCUUAUAAACAUCUGCUCCAGAACUUCACAACCUCUCGGUCGUGUAACACGCCUUGUAGCGCACAAUAUUACCAGGAAUGAGGUCUUACUUGUAUGGAAAGAUUCCAAAAUUCGUUCAAAAUGCAUUUUAACAUACGAAGUGGAAUUUCGACCACAAGUUGAGUCUUGUAAUCGUACGAAAUUUAGAAGAAUUAAUCAUAGGGAUACGAUUUUCCUGUCUUAUCAUCAUGCAGUAGAAGGUACCGUAUAUACGUUCGGGCAUUAUAUAUGAGAAACAGUUUAACCGCAAUUGCGAAAUAUCUACCAAUUAAUAAUGUUGGCAACGACAGCUUACAAUUUGGGAAAUCUCGUUUUCACAUGAACGAUUAGGUAACAACUCAGUGGAAGAAUGGACUCAAGGAUGGUACAGAGUCCGAGCUGUGGAUUAUUGGAAUGUACCAGGAAGAUAUUCUAAAGUAAUUCGAUAUUCAGUAAAGUAACAUGCGUCGUGUAUUACUUUCCAUAUAGGUUUAGUUUUCAUUAACUAUGAGAAUGAAGAAAUGUAACUUAGUGGCCAGUCCAAUAAAUUAACAGGUAUUUGCACCUGCUUAAAUAAGA